rnacentral:rRNA from 1 species
UGGGGAAUAUUGCACAAUGGGCGCAAGCCUGAUGCAGCGACGCCGCGUGCGGGAUGACGGCCUUAGGGUUGUAAACCGCUUUCAGCAGGGACGAAAUUGACGGUACCUGCAGAAGAAGCCCCGGACAACUACGUGCCAGCAGCCGCGGUAAUACGGAGGGGGCAAGCGUUGUCCGGAUUUAUUGGGCGUAAAGCGCACGUAGGCGGGUGGUUAAGUCAGGGGUGACAUCCCGGAGCACAACUCCGGAAG